CCCUGCCAUUUGUACACACCGCCCGUCGCUGCUACCGAUUUUGAGUGAUCCGGUGAACCUUCUGGACUGUAUCGGGGCUUGACCCCGACGUGGGAAAUUAAGUAAACCUUAUCACUUAGAGGAAGCAGAAGUCG
rnacentral:rRNA from 1 species